rnacentral:sRNA from 1 species
AGCUGAAGAGGGGAGAGAGACACCCUCCCCACCCCCAUAUGAGGAUGGUCUGUGAUGAUAUGCAUGCAGGGGAAGGGACUUAUCCAAGGUCCCUGAUAGAUAGGGACUGGAAUUUUGGCAGUGUCUUUUCUAGAGUAGAACAAAUUUAUCAGUUGAAUUUGCUGUAGUUCUCUGAAGGUUUCUUUGGCCACAUUAGAAUUUUUGAGCCCUGGCAUCCGUGUAGGCCAACUUCAAAAUGGCUGUGUGCUCCACUCAGAGAUUCUGCUGUGAAGACCGGCAGGAGAUUUUUUAGCCUAUUCUGAACUCCAACUGUUCCAGUUCCUCUUGCUUUCCAGAGGUGUGAGCACCUGGAAGCCCCUGCUCUGGUCUACACCCCAGGCUCAAGAUUCAUCCUGCUCACUCAGCCACUCAUGCUGUCACCAGCGAUAAAACUGAGAUGCAUUCCCCAGAACCAAGCAAACAAGAAGAGGGUCCUCCUUCAGUGGGCUGUCAUCGAUCAUUCCCCGUUCCAUGGCCUCAGGACUGCCUGCUGAUGAAAUCUAAAAGACCAGCUUGCAGAAGGCAUGGAAAUCCUGGGGUUAGGGGCCCCUCUGCUAUGGAGGUUGUCUUAGUCUUUGCUCUCAGCAUCGGUGCACUUGUAAUAUACUUCAUAGAUUCGUCAAACUCCUGGAGACUUCAUGGCAAACCAACAUAUUGAAUGCAGGAAAUUCCAGGGUGGCCAAGAAUAUUCUCCAGAAAUCCCAAUAGAAUCCUGCCAGAAUUUCUACAAAGAUUUCACAUUACAGAUCGACAUGGCUUUCAACGUGUUCUUCCUUCUCUACUUUGGCUUGCGGUUUAUUGCAGCCAACGAUAAAUUGUGGUUCUGGCUGGAAGUGAACUCUGUAGUGGAUUUCUUCACUGUGCCCCCCGUGUUUGUGUCUGUGUACUUAAACAGAAGUUGGCUUGGUUUGAGAUUUUUAAGAGCUCUGAGACUGAUACAGUUUUCAGAAAUUUUGCAGUUUCUGAAUAUUCUUAAAACAAGUAAUUCCAUCAAGCUGGUGAAUCUGCUCUCCAUAUUUAUCAGCACGUGGCUGACUGCAGCCGGGUUCAUCCAUUUGGUGGAGAAUUCAGGGGACCCAUGGGAAAAUUUCCAAAACAACCAGGCUCUCACCUACUGGGAAUGUGUCUAUUUACUCAUGGUCACAAUGUCCACCGUUGGUUAUGGGGAUGUUUAUGCAAAAACCACACUUGGGCGCCUCUUCAUGGUCUUCUUCAUCCUCGGGGGACUGGCCAUGUUUGCCAGCUACGUCCCUGAAAUCAUAGAGUUAAUAGGAAACCGCAAGAAAUACGGGGGCUCCUAUAGUGCGGUUAGUGGAAGAAAGCACAUUGUGGUCUGCGGACACAUCACUCUGGAGAGUGUUUCCAACUUCCUGAAGGACUUUCUGCACAAGGACCGGGACGACGUCAAUGUGGAGAUCGUUUUUCUUCACAACAUCUCCCCCAACCUGGAGCUUGAAGCUCUGUUCAAACGACAUUUUACUCAGGUGGAAUUUUAUCAGGGUUCCGUCCUCAAUCCACAUGAUCUUGCAAGAGUCAAGAUAGAGUCAGCAGAUGCAUGCCUGAUCCUUGCCAACAAGUACUGCGCUGACCCGGAUGCGGAGGAUGCCUCGAACAUCAUGAGAGUAAUCUCCAUAAAGAACUACCAUCCGAAGAUAAGAAUCAUCACUCAAAUGCUGCAGUAUCACAACAAGGCCCAUCUGCUAAACAUCCCGAGCUGGAAUUGGAAAGAAGGUGAUGACGCAAUCUGCCUCGCAGAGUUGAAGUUGGGCUUCAUAGCCCAGAGCUGCCUGGCUCAAGGCCUCUCCACCAUGCUUGCCAACCUCUUCUCCAUGAGGUCAUUCAUAAAGAUUGAGGAAGACACGUGGCAGAAAUACUACUUGGAAGGAGUCUCAAAUGAAAUGUACACAGAAUAUCUCUCCAGUGCCUUCGUGGGUCUGUCCUUCCCUACUGUUUGUGAGCUGUGUUUUGUGAAGCUCAAGCUCCUAAUGAUAGCCAUUGAGUACAAGUCUGCCAACCGAGAGAGCCGUAUAUUAAUUAAUCCUGGAAACCAUCUUAAGAUCCAAGAAGGUACUUUAGGAUUUUUCAUCGCAAGUGAUGCCAAAGAAGUUAAAAGGGCAUUUUUUUACUGCAAGGCCUGUCAUGAUGACAUCACAGAUCCCAAAAGAAUAAAAAAAUGUGGCUGCAAACGGCUCAAGGUUGCAGCUAGAUCACGCUAUUCCAAAGAUCCAUUUGAGUUCAAGAAGGAGACUCCCAAUUCUCGGCUUGUGACCGAGCCAGUUGAAGAUGAGCAGCCAUCAACACUAUCACCAAAAAAAAAGCAACGGAAUGGAGGCAUGCGGAACUCACCCAACACCUCGCCUAAGCUGAUGAGGCAUGACCCCUUGUUAAUUCCUGGCAAUGAUCAGAUUGACAACAUGGACUCCAAUGUGAAGAAGUACGACUCUACUGGGAUGUUUCACUGGUGUGCACCCAAGGAGAUAGAGAAAGUCAUCCUGACUCGAAGUGAAGCUGCCAUGACCGUCCUGAGUGGCCAUGUCGUGGUCUGCAUCUUUGGCGAUGUCAGCUCAGCCCUGAUCGGCCUCCGGAACCUGGUGAUGCCGCUCCGUGCCAGCAACUUUCAUUACCAUGAGCUCAAGCACAUUGUGUUUGUGGGCUCUAUUGAGUACCUCAAGCGGGAAUGGGAGACGCUUCAUAACUUCCCCAAAGUGUCCAUAUUGCCUGGUACGCCAUUAAGUCGGGCUGAUUUAAGGGCUGUCAACAUCAACCUCUGUGACAUGUGCGUUAUCCUGUCAGCCAAUCAGAAUAAUAUUGAUGAUACUUCGCUGCAGGACAAGGAAUGCAUCUUGGCGUCACUCAACAUCAAAUCUAUGCAGUUUGAUGACAGCAUUGGGGUCUUGCAGGCUAAUUCCCAAGGGUUCACACCUCCAGGAAUGGAUAGAUCCUCUCCAGAUAACAGCCCAGUGCACGGGAUGUUACGUCAACCAUCCAUCACAACUGGGGUCAACAUCCCCAUCAUCACUGAACUAGUGAACGAUACUAAUGUUCAGUUUUUGGACCAAGACGAUGAUGAUGACCCUGAUACAGAACUGUACCUCACGCAGCCCUUUGCCUGUGGGACAGCAUUUGCCGUCAGUGUCCUGGACUCACUCAUGAGCGCGACAUACUUCAAUGACAAUAUCCUCACCCUGAUACGGACCCUGGUGACCGGAGGAGCCACGCCGGAGCUGGAGGCUCUGAUUGCUGAGGAGAACGCCCUUAGAGGUGGCUACAGCACCCCGCAGACACUGGCCAAUAGGGACCGCUGCCGCGUGGCCCAGUUAGCUCUGCUCGAUGGGCCAUUUGCGGACUUAGGGGAUGGUGGUUGUUAUGGUGAUCUGUUCUGCAAAGCUCUGAAAACAUAUAAUAUGCUUUGUUUUGGAAUUUACCGGCUGAGAGAUGCUCACCUCAGCACCCCCAGUCAGUGCACAAAGAGGUAUGUCAUCACCAACCCGCCCUAUGAGUUUGAGCUCGUGCCGACGGACCUGAUCUUCUGCUUAAUGCAGUUUGACCACAAUGCCGGCCAGUCCCGGGCCAGCCUGUCCCAUUCCUCCCACUCGUCGCAGUCCUCCAGCAAGAAGAGCUCCUCUGUUCACUCCAUCCCAUCCACAGCAAACCGACAGAACCGGCCCAAGUCCAGGGAGUCCCGGGACAAACAGAAAAAAGAAAUGGUUUACAGAUGAACCGGAUAAUGCCUAUCCCAGAAACAUUCAAAUCAAGCCCAUGAGUACCCACAUGGCUAACCAGAUCAACCAAUAUAAAUCCACAAGCAGCUUGAUUCCACCAAUCAG